rnacentral:rRNA from 1 species
AUGGCCAGCGCCGCCGGCGAGUCGGGAGCCAACCCUGCCGUGGCAUCGGAGGAAGGCGAGGUCCUGCCCUCACCUCUCUUGUCCGGGUACUACGCAUCCUCGGAGGGGUCUGAGGGCUACAUCUCGGGCCCAGAGGAAGGGGAGAGCUCCCGUGUGGUGGCGGCGCCGGCGCCUCUACUGCCAGCUGAAGCGGCAGCGGCGGCAGUGUGGUCCCUCGCGUUCGGGUCCGUGUCGCAGCGGGGACUGGAUCAGCGGAAGGGCAUGCAGGACACCGUGUCGCUGCGCCCGUCCUUCUGCGCCUGGGCCGACGGCUCCCCCAUGCACUUCUUCGCCGUCUUCGACGGCCAUGGCGGCCCACAGGUGUCGGCCCUGUGCAGGGACCAGAUGCACGUCGUACUGGCGGAGGAGCUGGCCGGCGCGGCAGCGGCCUACCAGAAGGAUCACCCGGAGAAGGACGAAGAGGCGGAGCAUCGCGCGUGGGAGGUGGCGCUGAAGCGGAGCUUCGAGCAGGCGGACGCACUGGGGAUGGGGCUGUCCGAAUCGGGAUGGCCCAUCAUGGGGUCAACUGCCGUGGUGGCGCUCCUGGUCCGCGGCAGCAUCCUCGUCGCCAACUGCGGCGACUGCCGCGCCGUGCUCUGCCGCGCCGGCAACGCCUUACCACUCUCCCAGGACCACAAGCUGGAGCGGCCGGACGAGAGGGUGCGGGUGGACGCGGCGGGCGGCAAAGUGCGGCCCUCCGACGACGGGCAGCUGCGCGUACGGGGGGUGCUUGCCAUGUCUCGCGCAUUAGGGCAGAAGCUCCUUAAGUCUGCAGUGAUAUGUGAGCCAGAUAUAACCAUGACGACUAGAUCGGAGGAUGACGACUGCCUGAUCCUCGCGAGCGAUGGCUUGUGGGAUGUCAUCAAGAACCAGAUUGCCUGCAAUGCCGUGAGGAACUGCCUAGAAUUUGAAAACAAGAAUAACCAAGGUGCUCCUAGAGAGGGUGCACUGAUAGGACAAGAGGAAGAGGUUGGCUGCAACAAUGUUGCAACCCUCCUAAAGAACAUGGCAAUCUGCAAGCAUAGCCAGGAUGACAUUAGUGUUGCCGUACUUGAUCUGAAAGCGAGAGGUUAG